rnacentral:rRNA from 1 species
GACGAACGCUGGCGGCGUGCUUAACACAUGCAAGUCGAACGGAAAGGCCCUGCUUUUGUGGGGUGCUCGAGUGGCGAACGGGUGAGUAACACGUGAGUAACCUGCCCUUGACUUUGGGAUAACUUUUGGAAACUGGGGCUAAUAUCGGAUAGGAGCUCUUGCUGCAUGGUGGGGGUUGGAAAGUUUCGGCGGUUGGGGAUGGACUCGCGGCUUAUCAGCUUGUUGGUGAGGUAGUGGCUUACCAAGGCUUUGACGGGUAGCCGGCCUGAGAGGGUGACCGGCCACAUUGGGACUAAGAGACGGCCCAGACGCCUACGGGAGGCAGCAGGGGAGAAUAUUGCGCAAUGGGCGGAAGCCUGAUGCAGCAACGCCGCGUGCGGGAUGACGGCCUUCGAGUUAUAAACCACUGUCGCCGUUGACGAAGCGUGAGUGACGGUAAUGGAUAAAGAAGCACCGGCUAACUACGUG